GAGGAAUAUUGGUCAAUGGGCGAGAGCCUGAACCAGCCAAGUAGCGUGCAGGAUGACGGCCCUAUGGGUUGUAAACUGCUUUUAUGUGGGGAUAAAGCGCGUGACGUGUCAUGCAUUGCAGGUACCACAUGAAUAAGGACCGGCUAAUUCCGUGCCAGCAGCCGCGGUAAUACGGAAGGUCCGGGCGUUAUCCGGAUUUAUUGGGUUUAAAGGGAGCGUAGGCUGUCUAUUAAGCGUGUUGUGAAAUUUACCGGCUCAACCGGUGGCUUGCAGCGCGAACUGGUCGACUUGAGUAUGCAGGAAGUAGGCGGAAUUCAUGGUGUAGCGGUGAAAUGCUUAGAUAUCAUGACGAACUCCGAUUGCGCAGGCAGCUUACUGUAGCAUAACUGACGCUGAUGCUCGAAAGUGCGGGUAUCAAACAGGAUUAGAUACCCUGGUAGUCCGCACGGUAAACGAUGGAUGCUCGCUAUUCGUCCUAUUUGGAUGAGUGGCCAAGUGAAAACAUUAAGCAUCCCACCUGGGGAGUACGCCGGCAACGGUG
rnacentral:rRNA from 1 species